rnacentral:rRNA from 1 species
UACGUAGGGUGCAAGCGUUGUCCGGAAUCAUUGGGCGUAAAGCGCGCGUAGGUGGCUUCGUAAGUCCGUUGUGAAAGUCAAAGGCUCAACCUUUGAAUGCCGAUGGAUACUGCGAAGCUAGAGUACGGAAGAGGCGAGUGGAAUUCCUGGUGUAGCGGUGGAAUGCGCAGAUAUCAGGAGGAACACCAAUAGCGAAGGCAGCUCGCUGGGACGUUACUGACACUAAGGCGCGAAAGCGUGGGAGCGAACAGG